AUUGAACGCUGGCGGAAUGCUUUACACAUGCAAGUCGAACGGCAGCACGGACUUCGGUCUGGUGGCGAGUGGCGAACGGGUGAGUAAUAUAUCGGAACGUGCCCAGUCGUGGGGGAUAACGUAGUGAAAAUUACGCUAAUACCGCAUACGAUCUACGGAUGAAAGCGGGGGAUCGCAAGACCUCGCGCGAUUGGAGCGGCCGAUAUCAGAUUAGGUAGCUGGUGAGGUAAAGGCUCACCAAGCCGACGAUCUGUAGCUGGUCUGAGAGGACGACCAGCAACACUGGGACUGAGACACGGCCCAGACUCCUACGGGAGGCAGCAGUGGGGAAUUUUGGACAAUGGACGCAAGUCUGAUCCAGCCAUUCCGCGUGCAGGACGAAGGCCUUCGGGUUGUAAACUGCUUUUGUACAGAACGAAAAGGUCUCUACUAAUACUAGGGGCUCAUGACGGUACUGUAAGAAUAAGCACCGGCUAACUACGUGCCAGCCGCCGCCGUAA
rnacentral:rRNA from 1 species